GACGAACGCUGGCGGCGUGCUUAACACAUGCAAGUCGAACGGAAAGGCCCUGCUUUUGUGGGGUGCUCGAGUGGCGAACGGGUGAGUAACACGUGAGUAACCUGCCCUUGACUUUGGGAUAACUUCAGGAAACCGGGGCUAAUACCGGAUCGGAGCUCCUGCUGCAUGGUGGGGGUUGGAAAGUUUCGGCGGUUGGGGAUGGACUCGCGGCUUAUCAGCUUGUUGGUGGGGUAGUGGCUUACCAAGGCUUUGACGGGUAGCCGGCCUGAGAGGGUGACCGGCCACAUGGGGACUGAGAUACGGCCCAGACUCCUACGGGAGGCAGCAGUGGGGAAUAUUGCACAAUGGGCGGAAGCGUGAUGCAGCAACGCCGCGUGCGGGAUGACGGCCUUCGGGUUGUAAACCGCUUUCGCCUGUGACGAAGCGUGAGUGACGGUAAUGGGUAAAGAAGCACCGGCUAACUACGUG
rnacentral:rRNA from 1 species